GACGAACGCUGGCGGCGCGCCUAACACAUGCAAGUCGAACGGAGCUGUUUUCUCUGAAGUUUUCGGAUGGAAGAGAGUUCAGCUUAGUGGCGAACGGGUGAGUAACACGUGAGCAACCUGCCUUUCAGUGGGGGACAACAUUUGGAAACGAAUGCUAAUACCGCAUAAGACCACAGUGUCGCAUGGCACAGGGGUCAAAGGAUUUAUCCGCUGAAAGAUGGGCUCGCGUCCGAUUAGCUAGAUGGUGAGGUAACGGCCCACCAUGGCGACGAUCGGUAGCCGGACUGAGAGGUUGAACGGCCACAUUGGGACUGAGACACGGCCCAGACUCCUACGGGAGGCAGCAGUGGGGAAUAUUGCACAAUGGGGGAAACCCUGAUGCAGCGACGCCGCGUGGAGGAAGAAGGUCUUCGGAUUGUAAACUCCUGUCCCAGGGGACGAUAAUGACGGUACCCUGGGAGGAAGCACCGGCUAACUACGUGCCAGCAGCCGCGGUAAAACGUAGGGUGCAAGCGUUGUCCGGAAUUACUGGGUGUAAAGGGAGCGCAGGCGGAUUGGCAAGUUGGGAGUGAAAUCUAUGGGCUCAACCCAUAAAUUGCUUUCAAAACUGUCAGUCUUGAGUGGUGUAGAGGUAGGCGGAAUUCCCGGUGUAGCGGUGGAAUGCGUAGAUAUCGGGAGGAACACCAGUGGCGAAGGCGGCCUACUGGGCACUAACUGACGCUGAGGCUCGAAAGCAUGGGUAGCAAACAGGAUUAGAUACCCUGGUAGUCCAUGCCGUAAACGAUGAUUACUAGGUGUGGGAGGAUUGACCCCUUCCGUGCCGCAGUUAACACAAUAAGUAAUCCACCUGGGGAGUACGACCGCAAGGUUGAAACUCAAAGGAAUUGACGGGGGCCCGCACAAGCAGUGGAGUAUGUGGUUUAAUUCGAAGCAACGCGAAGAACCUUACCAGGUCUUGACAUCGGAUGCAUACCUAAGAGAUUAGGGAAGUCCUUCGGGACAUCCAGACAGGUGGUGCAUGGUUGUCGUCAGCUCGUGUCGUGAGAUGUUGGGUUAAGUCCCGCAACGAGCGCAACCCUUAUCGUUAGUUACUACGCAAGAGGACUCUAGCGAGACUGCCGUUGACAAAACGGAGGAAGGUGGGGAUGACGUCAAAUCAUCAUGCCCUUUAUGACCUGGGCUACACACGUACUACAAUGGCUAUUAACAGAGAGAAGCAAUACCGCGAGGUGGAGCAAACCUCACAAAAAUAGUCUCAGUUCGGAUCGCAGGCUGCAACCCGCCUGCGUGAAGCCGGAAUUGCUAGUAAUCGCGGAUCAGCAUGCCGCGGUGAAUACGUUCCCGGGCCU
rnacentral:rRNA from 1 species